rnacentral:lncRNA from 1 species
AAACAAUUUAGCUGGCAGAUAAGUUAAAUGUUUAAUAUUAAAACAAAUGUGGAUGUAUUAUAACAGAGAGGUGAUGAGAUGGAAGCCCAGAAAGUUUGUGACUUGUUCAAGGUUGUGUAACUUGUUCAGAGGACGAGUCUAGUGGAAGGGAGCGCUAGGCAGGUUGUUCUCAGUCUUGAAUAUCAUGGUCAAGUGUGUACUUCGCUUUUGCUCUACUAUUAUGUCCUUUUAUAUCAUUUGACUGCUCGUUAACUUCCCUGCCAAAAGGUUGUCAGGAAAAAUUAUAAAAGGAAUUUAAACAAACUCAUCACUUUUUUCCUUCUUGUUGAUAGUGCUUAUAUGAGGAUUAAGAAAAUAUGAUAUCAAAGCUUUCAAAUGAAGUUUGAAAAUCAUUUGUUAAUUGAAAUCUUUUGAGUGUUUCCUGAUCCCUAUUGUUAACAGAGAUAAUAUAACUGGAUAUAAAUAAAAUGUACUGUGAUGGCUAACGGGGGGACUAUAUGUUUUUCAGAUCUGGGACACAUUUGAUUUUUGAGAAGAAAUAGAUUAUUCAUUUAGCAAGAAGUACCGGUUGAGUACUGCCAAUACAAAUACUUUUUUGGGCCUGAAAAAUAGUCUUCCAUCUUUAAUGAUGACCUGGCUGAAAAGAAAACCUUGAACCUCAGAAGUUCUUGAAGAUAUGGAAGGAGAGCAAAGUGAUGUGUGUUGUAGAAAACAGAUGCCGCUGAUUUGAAUGAAGGUUCAAGCUGGGGCCUCUUCCUCAUCAGUGACAGAUGCAGCAGCGGUGUCACAGAUGUCUCCCAAAGGCACCGUCUCUCUGUGGAUGCUGCGAGUCUCCAAGACUGAGGAUGGCAACAUCAGCCCUACCGCUGCCCAAGGCCACUGCUGUUUUAUAUUGCUGCCACCACCAUCAACAUAGCCACCACCAUGAGGGGGACCAAUAAUGUCAACGGGUUUCAGCAUUUUCUCCAUCAUCACCCUUGGGACUUGGAUGUGAGUCAUCCGGAUAAGCUGAGAGACAGUCACCCUGCUUUGUUUUGUUAAUGACCACACCUUCCCUUGAACCCUGUCCCAUUAGUUUUGAACCAGCUUCUCUCUUUCCCUUUGGGAUCCGUCUGUCCCAGGAGGCUCCUCUGUUCCUCCUUAUACCACAGCUCUCCUUUCAGGCUCAGAUAUUUUGGAAUCUCAGUGUAAACACAGCUGGGA